AGGAUUAACGCUGGCGGCGUGCCUAACACAUGCAAGUCGAACGAGGUAGCAAUACCUAGUGGCAGACGGGUGAGUAACGCGUGGUCAACCUACCGUUGAGUGGGGGAUAACUAGCCGAAAGGUUAGCUAAUACCGCAUACGAGUCUCGGGGGCAUCCCUGGGCCUUAAAAGGAGCAAUCCGCUCGAUGACGGGACCGCGUCCCAUUAGCUAGAUGGUGGGGUAACGGCCUACCAUGGCUCCGAUGGGUAGCUGGUUUGAGAGAGCGACCAGCCACACUGGGACUGAGAAACGGCCCAGACUCCUACGGGAGGCAGCAGUGAGGAAUUUUCCGCAAUGGGCGAAAGCCUGACGGAGCGACGCCGCGUGUGGGAAGAAGGCCUUCGGGUCGUAAACCACUGUCGAAGGGGACGAGUAAUGACGGUACCCUUGGAGGAAGCCCCGGCUAACUACGUGCCAGCAGCCGC
rnacentral:rRNA from 1 species